AACGAACGCUGGCGGCAUGCCUAACACAUGCAAGUCGAACGAGACCUUCGGGUCUAGUGGCGCACGGGUGCGUAACGCGUGGGAACCUGCCCUUAGGUUCGGAAUAACUCCCCGAAAGGGGUGCUAAUACCGGAUAAUGUCUUCGGACCAAAGAUUUAUCGCCUUUGGAUGGGCCCGCGUUGGAUUAGCUAGUUGGUAGGGUAAAAGCCUACCAAGGCGACGAUCCAUAGCUGGUCUGAGAGGAUGAUCAGCCACACUGGGACUGAGACACGGCCCAGACUCCUACGAGAGGCAGCAGUGGGGAAUAUUGGACAAUGGGCGAGAGCCUGAUCCAGCAAUGCCGCGUGAGUGAUGAAGGCCUUAGGGUUGUAAAGCUCUUGUACCCGGGAUGAUAAUGACAGUACCGGGAGAAUAAGCUCCGGCUAACUCCGUG
rnacentral:rRNA from 1 species